CAUCAGGCUGGGCAUGGUGGCUCAUGCUUGUAAUCCCAGCACUUUGGGAGGCUGAGGCAGGCAAAUCACCUGAAGUCUGAAGUUCAAGACCAGCCUGGCCAACAUGGUGAAACUCUGACUCUACCAAAAAUACAAAAAUUAGCUGGGCAGUAGUGGCGUGUACCUGUAGUCUCAGCUACUCGGGAGGCUGAGGCAGGAGAAUCACUUCAAUCUGGGAGGCGGAGGUUGCAGUGGACCCCAUCACUGCACUCCACCCUGGGUGACAGAGCGAGACUCUGUCAAAAACAACAACAACAACAACAACAAAAACAACAACAACAGAAACUCCUGGCAUCAAGACAUCUUCCUGUCUUAGCCUCCCAAUGCCCUGGGAUUAUACUCUUUCCUAUAAUUGAAGACACUUGUUCUUACACUGCUUUAAGGUAUAAAGGAAAAAAAAAAACAGAUAAUGGCAAAUGUUGGUGAAGGCCGGGCAUGGUGGCAGCCUGUAAUUCCAGAACUUAGGGAGGCUGAGCAACUGUAACAUGAGGUCCCAGUUUCAUGUUCAUUUUUUGUUGUUGCUACAACAAAGUACCCUACAUUUAGUGGCUUCAAACACCACAAAUCUACCAUCUUACAGUUCUGGGGGCCAGAAGCCCAACUAGGUCUAUUAAGGCUAAAGUCAAGGUGUCAGAGGGGCUGCAUUCCUUCUGGGGGAGGCUCUAGACAGAAUGUGCUCCUUUGCCUUUUCUAGCUUCUAGAAGCCACCCCCAUUCCUUGACUUACCUCGUGAUUCCAUAUUCAAGGCCAGAAGUGCAGCAUCUUCAAAUCUCCCUCUCUGACCUCUUCUUCCAUUACCACAUCACUUUCUCUAAUUCUGACUCUCCUACCUCCUUCUCUUAUAAGAUCCUUGUGAUUGGUGGGUAUGGGGGCUCCCAUCUGUAAUCCCAACAUUUUGGGAGGCCAAAGAGGAAGGAUUGCUUGAGGCCAAGAGUUAGAGAUCAGCCUGGGGAAAAUAGGAAGACCCUGCCUUUACAAAAUUAAAAUUAAAAUCAGCUGGACAUGGUGAUGCACGCCUGUAGUUCCAGCUACUGGAGAGGCUAAGGUGGGAGGAUCGCUUUAGCCUAGGAGGUCAUGGCUGCAGUGAGCUAUGAUCACAUCACUGCACUCCAGCCUCAGUGGCAGAGUGAGACUCUGUCUCAAAUAUAAGAAAAGAAAUAUACAUUUGGUCUCUGCCCCUGGUUCCUGGCAUAAAGCUUCCAAAGCUCUUAUAAAGCCCUUCGUGACAGAGGUAAUAGGAGCAUUUUCUGUUUUGAUAGUUAGUCUUAGUCCCAGGUUCCUGACACAAGGGCCUCUAAGGUCUUUCAGAUCUGCAGCAUGGUAAGAAUGCAUGUGGGAUGCUGUUGAGCUAACAGGGUGGCUGCAAGCUCCUAGACUGCUUCAGGAGGAGGGCUAGCUGCCAGAGAAAGCAACCACUUUUUUUUAAAGCAACCGUUUUUUUUUUUAAACGGAGUCUGGCUCUUAUAGCCCAGGCUGGAGUGCAAUGGCACAAUCUCAGCUCACUGCAACCUCCACCUCCCGGGUUCAAGCAAUUCUCCUGCCUCAGCCUCCCGAGUAGCUGGAAUUACAGGGAUGUGCCACAACGCCUAGCUAAUUGUUGUUAUUUUUAGUAGAAACGGGGUUUCACCAUGUUGGUCAGGCUGGUCUCAAACUCCUGACCUCAAGUAGUCCAUGUGCGUCAGCCUUCCAAACUGCUAGGAUUACAGGAGUGAGCCACCACACCUGGCCCCAACUACAUUUUUUGAGGCUUGGAACUUUCAGCCUCACCUGCUGAACUCCAAGAGGCAAAAGGAACUGGAGAUUGACUUAACUACCAAUGGCCAAUGAUUUUAUCAAUCAUGCUUCCAUAAAAACCCAAACAGCAGGGUUUGGAGAGCUUCUGUGUUGCUAAACAUAAGGAGGUCCUGGGAGGGUAGUGUGCCCAACAGAGGGCAUGGAAGCUCUGUGCCCUUCCCCACUUACCUUGUCCUGUGCAUCUCUUUCAUUGGCUGUUCCUGAGAUGGAGCCAUUACAUUGAGCCAGUAAUAGAAAAUAAGGUGGCCAGAUGCGCUGGCUCAUGACUGUAAUCCCAGCACUUUGGGAGGCAGAGGUGGGCGGAAUCACUUGAGCCUAGGAAUUUGAGACCAGCCUGGGCAACAUAAGAAGACCCCAUCUAUACAAAAAAUAAAAGAAAUUAGCCAGAUGUGGUGGUGGGAACCCUGUAAUUUCAGCUACUUGAGAGGCUGAAGCAGGAGAAUCACUUGAGCCCUGGAGGUUGAGGCUUCAAUGAGCUAUGAUUGCACCACUGCACACCAGCCUGGACAACAGAGCGAGGCCCUGUCUCUUAAAAAGAAAAGAAAAAAACCUGUUUUUCUAAGUUCUGUGAGUUGUUCUAGUAAAUAACUAAACUCAAGAAGAGGGUCAUGGGAAACCCUGAUUUCUAACUGGUUGGUCAAAAUACAGGUGACAACCUAGGACUUGCAACUGGCAUCUGAAGUGAGGGUGGUCUUGCGGGACUGAGCCCCUAACCUGUGGGUUCUGCGCUAACUCUAGGCAGUGUCAGAAUGGAAUUGUGGGAUAUGCGGUUGGUAUCCAGAGAGUUGGAGAAUUGGUGUAGAAACUCCGCACACACAUUUGGUCAGAAGUCUGUGAGUAGAGAGAAACGUGUUGCGGGAAGUCAGGGACCCUGAACAGAGGGACCGGCUGAAGCCACAGCAGAAGAACAUAAAUUGUGAAGAUUUCAUGGACAUUUAUUAGUUCCCCAAAUUAAUACUUCUAUAAUUUCUUAUGCCUGUCUUUACUGCAAUCUCUGAACAUAAAUUGUGAAGAUUUCAUGGACACUUAUCACUUCCCCAAUCAAUACCCCUGUGAUUUCCUAUGCCUGUCUUUAAUCUCUUAAUCCGGUCAUCUUCGUAAGCCGAGGAUGAAUGUCCCCCCAGGACUCUGUGAUAAUUGCGUUAACUGCACAAGUUGUUUAAACAAUAUGAAACCUGGGCACCUUGAAAAAAGAACAGGGUAACAGCAAUUUCAGGGAACAAGGGAGAUAACCUUAAACUCUGGCUGCCUGUGGGCCGGGUGGAACAGAGCCAUAUUUCUCUUCUUUCAAAAGCAAAUAGGAGAAAUAUUGCUGAAUUCUUUUUCUCAGCAAAGAACAUCCCUGAGAAAGAGAAUGCACCCCUAAGGGGAGGCCUCUGAAAUGGCCGCUUUGGGGACGGCUGUCUUUUAUAGUCAUAGAUAAGGGAUGAAAUAAGCCCUGGGCUCGCGUGGCGCUCCCAGGCUUAUCAGGACGAGGAAAUUCCCGCCUAAUAAAUUUUGGUCAGAUGGGUUGUCUGCUCUCAACCCCUUUCUCCUGAUAAGAUGUUAUCAAUGACAAUGCGUGCCCGAAACUUCAUUAGCAAUUUUAAUUUCGCCCUGGUCCUGUGGUCCUGUGAUCUUGCCCUGCCUCCAUUUGCCUUGUGAUAUUUUAUUACCUUGUGAAGCAUGUGAUCUCUGUGACCCACACCCUAUUCGUACACUCCCUCCCCUUUUGAAAAUCACUAAUAAAAACUUGUUGGUUUUGCGGCUUGGGGGGCAUCACGGAACCUGCUGACAUGUGAUGUCUCCCCUGGACACCCAGUUUUAAAAUUUCUCUCUUUUGUACUCUUUCCUUUUAUUUCUCAGACCGGCCGACACUCAGGGAAAAUAGAAAAGAACCUACAUGAAAUAUUGGGGUGAAUUUCCCCCGAUAUCACAUGGGCUCUUCUCUCACCUGUCUACCUGCUUAACUGCAUAGGAGAGGCAAUGCAUGGUGCUCAUUAACACAGCAAGCAUUAAAGUCAGACCAGACUAACAUUUGACUCAGUCUUAAUAUUCAGGUGAGCUUGGGCAAAUCGCUCAUUAACCCCAAGUCUUCAUCAUUUUGUGCAUAUAAUGGGGAUAACUGUGGCACCCACCUGUUUUUGUGAGAAUCAAUGAAAUAUUAUGCUUGAUGUUACUGUGAUCAUGAUACUAUCUGACAAGGGCAGUGAUGCAUGAUAACAUCAAAAAAUUAGGAACUGUAAUGAGGUCUCUUGGGCAAAAUUCCAUACAAGCAAAUGACCGUCUCUCCAAAGCAUUCCUGCCACACUUAAUUCACCAUUCCCUGAACAAAAUGUGCCAUCUUCAUUGUUCAGGUCUGUAUAGUGCUGGUUUACCUGACUGGGCAGCUCACUCCAUCCCAUCCCAGCCCAAUCCCCAUCCCUCCACCUCCCCCUUCCCUCCCCACUCUCAUACAACUCUUCCUCAUCUUAC
rnacentral:lncRNA from 1 species